AUUGAACGCUGGCGGCAUGCCUUACACAUGCAAGUCGAACGGUAACAGGUCUUCGGAUGCUGACGAGUGGCGAACGGGUGAGUAAUACAUCGGAACGUGCCUAGUAGUGGGGGAUAACUACUCGAAAGAGUGGCUAAUACCGCAUGAGAUCUACGGAUGAAAGCAGGGGAUCGCAAGACCUUGUGCUACUAGAGCGGCCGAUGGCAGAUUAGGUAGUUGGUGGGAUAAAAGCUUACCAAGCCGACGAUCUGUAGCUGGUCUGAGAGGACGAUCAGCCACACUGGGACUGAGACACGGCCCAGACUCCUAUGGGAAGCAGCAGUGGGGAAUUUUGGACAAUGGGCGAAAGCCUGAUCCAGCAAUGCCGCGUGCAGGAUGAAGGCCUUCGGGUUGUAAACUGCUUUCGUACGGAACGAAAAGCCCCGGGUUAAUACCCUGGGGUCAUGACGGUACCGUAAGAAUAAGCACCGGCUAACUACGUGCCAGCCGCCGCCGUAA
rnacentral:rRNA from 1 species